rnacentral:tRNA from 1 species
AGCCUUAUAUUUAAUAAAUAAUAUUAAAUUGCAAGUUUAAAGUAGAUAAAAUCUAAGGCUU